rnacentral:rRNA from 1 species
CUUUGGUUCUAUUUUGUUGGUUUAAAGGACCAAAGUAAUGAUUAAUAGGGACAGUUGGGGGCAUUAGUAUUUCAGGGCUAGAGGUGAAAUUCUUGGAUUCCUGAAAGACUAACUACUGCGAAAGCAUCUGCCAAGGAUGUUUUCAUUAAUCAAGAACGAAAGUUAGGGGAUCGAAAACGAUUAGAUACCGUUGUAGUCUUAACCAUAAACUAUGCCGACUCAGGAUCAGUGGACGUUCAUCAUGACUCCAUUGGCACUGUAGGAGAAAUCAAAGUUUUUGGGCUCCGGGGGGAGUAUGGUCGCAAGGCUGAAACUUAAAGGAAUUGACGGAAGGGCACCACCAGGAGUGGAGCCUGCGGCUUAAUUUGACUCAACACGGGGAAACUCACC